UACGAAGGGGGCUAGCGUUGUUCGGAAUUACUGGGCGUAAAGCGCGCGCAGGCGGUCCUUUAAGUCAGGGGUGAAAGCCCAGAGCUCAACUCUGGAACUGCCUUUGAAACUAGAGGACUUGGGUACGGGAGAGGUGAGUGGAAUUCCGAGUGUAGAGGUGAAAUUCGUAGAUAUUCGGAAGAACACCAGUGGCGAAGGCGGCUCACUGGCCCGUUACCGACGCUCAGGGGCGAAAGCGUGGGGAGCAAACCGG
rnacentral:rRNA from 1 species